rnacentral:rRNA from 1 species
CCUACGGGUGGCAGCAGUGAGGAAUAUUGGUCAAUGGACGAGAGUCUGAACCAGCCAAGUAGCGUGAAGGAUGACUGCCCUAUGGGUUGUAAACUUCUUUUAUAAAGGAAUAAAACGAGGCACGUGUGCCUUUUUGCAUGUACUUUAUUAAUAAGGAUCGGCUAACUCCGUGCCAGCAGCCGCGGUAAUACGGAGGAUCCGAGCGUUAUCCGGAUUUAUUGGGUUUAAAGGGAGCGUAGAUGGGUUGUUAAGUCCGUUGUGAAAGUUUGCGGCGCAACCGUAAAAUUGCAAUUGAUACUGGCAGUCGUGAGUACAGUUGAGGUAGGCGGAAUUCGUGGUGUAGCGGUGAAAUGCUUAGAUAUCACGAAGAACCCCGAUUGCGAAGGCAGCUUACUAAACUGUGACUGACAUUGAUGCUCGAAAGUGUGGGUAUCAAACAGGAUUAGAUACCCUUGUAGUC